UGUCUUCAACAGGACCGGAAGAAAAAAAAGUAAAUCAACAAAAUUAGGGUUCAUGAAUUUGGUAUUUGGGAAAGUGGUUCCGAUUUGAUAUAUGAGAGAGAACAAAGAAUCUAAGGGCAAGAUUAUCGGUGUCCUUAGAGGGAUAUCUUAGCAAUUAAACACUCAUAAUUAAAUGAAAAAUAACCAAUAAAAACAAGGACGCCUCUUAAUUAAGAAGUUUUCGGUGUGGUCCUUACGAGCCACGUGUAGGUCUGAGAUUCACUUCGAAAACAAAUUGGUUCUCUCUCGAAGGCGAUUCAAGCGGCGACGAUUCGAGCGGCUCUCUCGACGGCGGUUCUCUCUUGACGCCACAUCUCUCUCGACGGCGCUUCUCUCUCAACAGUUCUCUUCUCGUUGAUUUUGAUCGCAGUCCAGAGGAUCUGUUGUUUCAUCCACAGCUUUUUCUGCGAUUCAAAGGUGAAUAAUCUACCUGUUUUGCUGAAGUUAAUAACUUCAUCGGGAGUAUCUUCGAUCCUGACAGCAAAGGCCGCACGGAAAAGCUCAAGGAAAUGGAUCCUAUAAAUUUUGAAACUGUACUGAUAUUGAUGAGAAACCUCACAGUGAAUAUGUCAAAUCCUGAUUUCGAACCUUCUUCUGAUGUUGCAGAGGAAGGUUCAGAACACUUAAGCUCUUAGCUCUUGUAUGGGAUCUUUGGCCAAGAACCAAACAAGUGAUAUAUCUUUCUUGAUGGGCUUCUUGCUCACAACAACUGUGUAUAUCAACUGAUAUAUAUAUAUUUAUUUGUUCAUGCGUUUUGUAAUUUGUAGUUUUCUUUAUUGGUUAUUUCUUGUCAUAUAUUGAAACCAAAGGCAAUGUAUCAGCUAGCAAAUGCCACUAAAUUCAUAAAGAGACACAUGAGUCUGUUUGUAUCUUAUUAAAAGUCCUACCAAUAAUCAACUCUUUUGUGAUUGUCCUUAA